AUACGGAGGAUGCGAGCGUUAUCCGGAUUUAUUGGGUUUAAAGGGAGCGUAGGCGGACGCUUAAGUCAGUUGUGAAAGUUUGCGGCUCAACCGUAAAAUUGCAGUUGAUACUGGGUGUCUUGAGUACAGUAGAGGCAGGCGGAAUUUGGGGUGGAGCGGUGGAAUGCUUAGAUAUCACGAAGAACUCCGAUUGCGAAGGCAGCCUGCUGGACUGUAACUGACGCUGAUGCUCGAAAGUGUGGGUAUCAAACAGGAUUAGAUACCCUGGUAGUCCACACAGUAAACGAUGAAUACUCGCUGUUUGCGAUAUACAGUAAGCGGCCAAGCGAAAGCGUUAAGUAUUCCACCUGGGGAGUACGCCGGCAACGGUGAAACUCAAAUGAAUUGACGGGG
rnacentral:rRNA from 1 species